CCACCGGAUCGGAAACGCGACCCACUGACUAUAUCCGCCAAGAAAUUCAGUGGGCUGUGUCUAUGGGUUAAUUUGUCGCAAGCGGACGGGUUCGGUGAGGACGGUGAUCGGUGCUUGAGGUACCUAAAAGCACCACUCAUGGAUCGGGAGGAUCCGUAAGGACGUGCUUAGGGCGACGUCGACUGUUUACCAUUCGGUCCACAGGAUCGGGUAUAACAUGAUCUAACUUACCUUCAGUUGUUUGAGCUUCUGGAGCCGCACUGGUUGCAGCUGCGAAACAUAAAAAGUAUACAGGUAAGAGGUCUUCUUUCUCUGUUUACCGACCCCAAAAAAAAACGAUGUUCUCAAUUCGACUCUACUACUAACUGGUGGUAGGACCUCUUGUGAGUCCGCACGGGUAGGUACCACCACCCUGUCUAUUGCUGCCGUGAAGCAGUAAUGCGUUUCGGUUUGAAGGCAGGGGCAGCUGUUAUACUGUAAUAGCUGAAACCUUAAAACUAUAUCUCGGCAUUUACGUCGUGAUUGGCUAUGGGCUUCGGCAACCACUUCAUGCCAGGUGGGUUGUGAGCUCGUCCAUCCUUUUAAACAAUAAAAACUUCAAUGCGUCAUGUAGGGCACCCGUGACCUACAUAGCAGUCAAAGGGUUAAAAACAUAAAAGGAAUCUUCAACUGUCACAGGUCCGUUGACCUUGCGCGUCAACUAAUCUUUGUGUUCCAUUGCGUGCAUUUUUCAUUUUACAUUUUUUUUAUGGCUUGCAUCCAUUGAUCAAUGGGUUGUAUUGAAACCGUUCACGAAAAUGAAGUAUUGUUGCUAUUCUUAACGGUAUAACACUAAAUUCACGUUCCAACAUGUUUGUAUGAAACGCGCAAUGUAAGCAUAACAAAUUUACAAAUGAUACUGAAGUGCGUAGUCAACGACCUUGAGGCAGAGUAUGAUUGACUUUGUGUUUCAAUGCGAGCUCACGAAUGAGCUUACCAAUGCAAGCGUUUAUACAUUUAUUAAUAAACUAGCUGAUUCGGCAGACUUCGUAGUGCCUCAAUCGAUAAAUAAAAGAGCGACGGGGGACACAUCAAAGGAAAAACAACAUUGUUAUUUUUAUUUAAUUCCGAGCAUACUUAUCUUACUUUUAAACCUUCUCUGGACUUCCACAAAUUAUUCAAUGCCAAAAUUAGCCAAAUCAGUUCAGCCGUUCUCGAGUUUUAGCGAGACUAACGAACGGCAAUUCAUUUUUAUAUAUAGAGAUAAUUAGUUAAUUAUAAUAUUAAUUAACAAGUACCUGUAGUUGCCGCUGAAUCUGCUAAAAUAAGGAAUAAAAAAAACAUAUUGAGGAUUUCAAUCGAAAUUCAUUCUUAUUCAAUCUAACCUAACGAUAGAUUUUCGAGUACCCCCGAAAUUAAAUUAGUUUAAGCAUCGUAGCAAAUUAUGACGUAUUCUCGUUUUAUUCCCCUACCUAUUUGCUAGUAGCCUAAGGGGCUAUUUCAGUUACGCCUAGACGGGUAGGUGAGCUCACGGGCUCAACCUGAGAGAAUUGGCUAACACUGAUCCUAGCAGGAGCAGUUCUGAAUUUACCACCGGAUCGGAAUCGCGACCAGCUGCGAAGAUCCGGGGAGAAACUCAGUGGGUUGUGUGUAUGGGUUAGUUCGCUUCGUCAUGAUCGACGAGGACAGCGCUUCUGGCCAUUCUCCGGUGAAUCUCUUAGUCGCCUCAUGAUAUUCACGGGCAGAGAUGAGGUGGUGCUAUUCGCCACCGCAUUGCAACUUGGAAAACCUUCUUUUUUUAAUACACACAACUAUAAGAUAGGGUUGUUAUUAGUACUUUACAUUAUUCGUUAACGAUAUCGCGGCGUGUUGCAAGCGCCACGGUCGCGAACAGACUAAAGUGUGCGGAUAGAAUAUUAUCUUGUCAAUCAGCGGAAAAAUCUGAAUACCCUCUUUCUAGUUCGUUUUUUGGGUGUUACCAAUGGAACUCGAUGACACGUUCCGACAAUACUGAGUUUAGGUUCGUGUGAAAAUCGUGGUAGGAACUCUUUAAAUAAUAGUGUUUGUAAUGUAGAUGCGCUGGAAAAUCCCUGUACAGAACUUCGCAUCAACGUGUCGAUCCUCCAAGAACUCCAGAUACAGACGAGAAUUUCUGCCAUCCGCCUACGUAGAGUUCUGGAAUACUUUGGCCACAUUGUCAGAAAGGACGACGGCAACUUGGAGAAGCUAAUGGUCACUGGUAAAGUGGAGGGGAAAAAACCACGAGGUGGAGGCCCGACACGUUGGAUUGACCAGUGUGCCUAGUGCGAGUUUCAUAAAGUUCUCGAUAGCGUAAAAGUUAAGCCAAUUUUGUAUGCAGUUGAAACAGUGCCCUUAGCGGCAAACGUACGCAAACGAUCCCAUUCCAUGUAAAUAUGAGAUAACUUUUACGUUAUCGAGAACGUUAAAAAACUCGCACUAAGCGCACAGAACGCCACUACUCUCGACAUCACAGUCCACGAUGCUCUACAAUCAGCAAUAGAAGAUUAAAAUUUAAUAGACAACAAAAAUAAAAUACCUUCAGUCGUAGCUGCGGUGUGGCCUAAAACAUCAAACAUAAUUUUAGUGUUAUACGAAAAGGAAAUAAAGAUAUAUAUAUAUGUCAGAGGAAGCAAUGAGUCGAGUUGAUUCUUGUUUACAUGCUUAAUGUUUAUUAUUAUUAGUUUUACGUUGUAAUUACUUUUAUAAUUCCUAAUUCUAUUUUAUCUUGUUUGUUACGUUUUUCUAUAACUUUAAAACCUUUCAUAAAAAUAAACUGUAAUAAAAGGUCCCAUAACUGUAAAUCACGUAGGCAGCGACCAAUCAGAGCAGAGCGUCUUGUCUCGAGCGUGGUCGAGGCGCCAUCUUCACUUUUGAGAAAGCUUGUAUUGUGGUGUGACGCAUUUUGUAUAUUGUGAGCAUAAAAACGUAUCGAGUUGGAUCGUUGGAUAAUUUGGAUAUAGUUAAAGUGAGAUUGGUGCACCGAACUCGCUGCUCGGUCUAAACUGUUGUAUUCCUACAAUAUUACCGUGGAUAACAAAAUAUUGUAUAAACUGAAAUUAAACUACUGAUAAAACGGCAUCCAUUGUGUUUUGUGCUCGCACUUUAACCCCAUGACGCCCACUAAGCCCGCAGCCACUAAUGGCGAUAUCGACGAGGAGAGCCUUUCCCCGACAUCAGAAGUGGGAUCGGUGCAGGCACAAAACGUGAACGAACAGACGACGGCAAAUGAUGGAUGGCGUGCGUUAUUUGAAGCACAACAAACCAGCAUGAAGCUACUCGUGGAGGCUUUGACUAAACCACCGAAUCUUGAGGAUAAAAACAUCACGCUGCCUAAGUUUCAACCGGAUGAUGCAAACACUGACGCCCGGGCCUGGCUGGCCACGGCGGACAUUUGCUUAUCGGAUCGUGAGAUACAGGGAAGUAAAUUAAUUCUCAUUCUUAGUAAGGCUAUGAAAGGGUCGGCUGCAACAUGGUUUUCUCAAAUAGUUUUUCCUAAUAUGAAAUGGGUAGAAUUUAAGGAAAUUUUUAUUUCUCGAUUUGUUACGUUAGAAACAUGUGCAGCGACGUUAUUGAAGAUGCUUACUGGUAAACCACAAGAAGGUGAAUGUCUUGCUGCAUAUGCAAGCCGUUUAUUUACCUUACUCAUGUCACGAUGGAGUAAUUUAGAAAAGGAAGAAAUGGUGGUGUCUUUAAUACUUGCACACAUGGGACAAAUUGAGCCACGGUUACAACGCAAUAUUUUUGCGGAAGAAAUAACAACCCGCUGUAAAAUGCAACGCGAACUAAUGGCUUUUUCUUAUCGCAAACGGAGCUACCAAGAGAUGACAAAGGCCGUUGCAAGCAAUACGCACGAUAACAAACUUCCUAAAUUAAGUUCUGGUUUCACAAAAUGUUACGCUUGUGGAAAGCUUGGCCAUAAAUCUAAUGAAUGUUUCAGUCGGUCGCAUGAAAAACAGCAAACAACUCCGAUCUUUGAACACCCUGAUAUAGCUGAGGGUAAGCGUGCCCCGGUGACUUGCUACAAGUGUGGUGUUGAAGGUCAUGUGGCAUCGCGGUGCUCAAAAACAUGGUCAGUUGCAAGUAAUAGUGCACAACCCACCGUCGCACCCAGCAUCGUGAAGCGAGUGAACGUGUGUGGUAUGAAGCCUGUCACCGGGAUAAUUACACAAUUUGGUGAGCAGUUCUCAUUUUGUUUUGAUUCUGGUGCUGACUGUUCCUUAAUUAAAGAGAGCGUCUCUCGUAAGCUUGUCAGUACAGUACAGCACGCUAUUGCUACAUUGUGUAACAUGUAACUCACAAAUUUGGAUAGGAUGGCGAGGUGGCCAUAGGAUGGCGAGGUGGCCAUAGGAUGGCGAGGUGGCCAUAGGAGGGCGAGGUGGCCAUAGGAUGGCGAGGUGGCCAUAGGAUGGCGAGGUGGCCAUAGGAUGGCGAGGUGGCCAUAGGAUGGCGAGGUGGCCAUUUUAUUGCUAUUAGUCUGUUAACGGCGAAGUGGCUGCUUAGAUACUAUGGAAUUAAUUUAGAAUGUAGCGUGGAAUCUAUUAGGAUUCAGAUCGGAAUACGAAACAGAAAUGGAGUUAUUGCAUAAAGGAUCAAAUGUAAGGAUCCUGUAAUGUCCUGGGUCAGGAGUGGCCGAGACGUACAAAAAUAGUUUCUUUUUUUUGCAGAUAUCGAUGAUGCACGGCCUUCAACAUCACACGAGGACGUGUGAUAUGUCAGGACGGCCGUGUCAGAGGAAGCAAUGAGUCGAGUUGAUUCUUGUUUACAUGCUUAAUGUUUAUUAUUAUUAGUUUUACGUUGUAAUUACUUUUAUAAUUCCUAAUUCUAUUUUAUCUUGUUUGUUACGUUUUUCUAUAACUUUAAAACCUUUCAUAAAAAUAAACUGUAAUAAAAGGUCCCAUAACUGUAAAUCACGUAGGCAGCGACCAAUCAGAGCAGAGCGUCUUGUCUCGAGCGUGGUCGAGGCGCCAUCUUCACUUUUGAGAAAGCUUGUAUUGUGGUGUGACGCAUUUUGUAUAUUGUGAGCAUAAAAACGUAUCGAGUUGGAUCGUUGGAUAAUUUGGAUAUAGUUAAAGUGAGAUUGGUGCACCGAACUCGCUGCUCGGUCUAAACUGUUGUAUUCCUACAAUAUUACCGUGGAUAACAAAAUAUUGUAUAAACUGAAAUUAAACUACUGAUAAAACGGCA